CAGAGAGUUUCAGGUCGACUGCUGAAUGAAGUGCAGCUGGCUCCAUCCACUCCACCACUUGAUUCUCUCUUGAAGUUCCCUGAAAAAUAAGUGCUUCAAGGAAUUUCUGGAAUGCAAUUAUUAUGGAGACAAGGUAAAGAUUAUCUAAUAAGAGCAAUAAUCGAGGCCUUCUACUAUGAAGCCUUCCAGACACUUUUUCAUCUUCCUCAACGAAAUUUCAUAAAAGGUCGUUGAAACAAAGUAUUAAGCUUGUUAUAUUCUCAUAAAUCAAAUCAGGACAUUCUAUACUUCAAAGUAUGUCACCUUGAAAUUUUCUAUGGAUCGGUAAAGAAAUUAUAGUCCUUUUUUUUUCUAUGACACAACCUGUAAGGAAAUUAGCUUGGACUCAAUUGCAACGUAAUUCUUUGUCCAUGAAUUGAUGGAGUAGCUCGCUAAUGAUUGCAAAAAGCGUGCAUAACGAAUGCCUGAAUCAUGCUUUGAUGCCUAGGAGGAAAAGGAAAUCGAAUUUUUAGUAGAUAGAUGAAAUUACUAGCUAAUUAAGAUAUUUCAUGGUAACGAUUUGCAUUCUGCUUUAAUCAAUUAAUAUUUAUCAGGAUGUAAGAUAUAUUUAAAAAAAGAAGAAGAAGAUUGUGUUCAUUGAAGCAUAUCAAUGAAGCUCUUCAUGAACUUCUCAUGGACCUGUCUGUCUGGCAAGCUUUUGUAAUG